GUUGAUUUGGCAGAUUAAUGCGCUAAAUUUAGAGUUUAAUUAUAUAGCUAAGGUUAUAUUCAAUA
rnacentral:tRNA from 1 species